rnacentral:lncRNA from 13 species
AGGAAUGAAGAAGUCAGCUGUGCGUCCAAGCAAAGCCGGCCAGUGAUGGAGAAGACUCUGCUGCCUUCAGAAAGAACACAUCAAUUUUCUCAACGGAGCAAGAGUUUCUGUUAUUAAUGAUAACGCUGCCGAGUGUUGGGUUAAUGGGUGACAGUGUCACAGAAUUUUCACGGUUUUUGUCUCAUUGUUCUGCUACCCAUGAUAAUACCAGGUUGAGAAGACAAAACACUUGUUCUUUAAGAGACUGAGGCACUUGACAAUGGUAUAGCACAAAGGACGAGCACCAGGGUGAUUCUGGGACAUUUUCCACCAGAUUUGGCAUUUAUGGGACACUGUUAACUUUAAGCAAUUGUUCCUUAUAAAUAACAAAGUUGAAUAAUAGACUUUUGCCUUCUUCGUAACUAUUUUUUUCCUUGCUUGUAAAAAAUCUGGAGAAAUAUCUAGAUGGACAAAUUAGAAAAUAAAAACAGUUCAUGAUUGUACUCUCCAGGUACAACCUCUUUUGUCAUCUUUCUGCAUUUGCCUGUUAGUCUAUUUGCAUCUAUAAAGAGUGCUAUUAGAAAUUAACAUGAGGUUUGUCUCACAUUAUUAAAUACUCUUCUACCCCAUGUUUCCAUCGGCUGAAUAGUACACCAUUAUUACCAUAAUUUAUUGAACACAUUCUCUAAACAACUGUUUAGAUCUCCCGCAUUGUUGGAAGUGGGAAGUGCGGGAAGGCAGAGUGCACAGCCACGCCCGCUGGUACUUCUGUGUUAUGUAUUAUAAGCAACCCUUCAGUCAACACAGACGUUCGGAUACCUUCAUGGACAGCUCUGAUUUUUCUCGGGAUAAACUUCUGGAAAUGGAACUCCAAGACUAUGAAUAUAUUGAACGGUUUUUGAUGACUUGUCUUCUGCAAAGGUUUUACCAGUCUGCUGUUUUGCAGAUGAGAGCACGGAGGGCCGGAAAGGUUCGUGGACUCGGCCACCAUCAGGGAUCAGGAGGUCCAGGAACCAGGGCUCGAGUCUCUAGCCUCAGUCUCUUGCCGACACGUCGUCUCUCGCGGUGGGGCAGGAGAGGAGAGGAGAAACUGUUUAGUCAUCGCUGAGUGAGCAGCUACUCCGUGUUGGAAUAACGCGUCCUCAGUUCUGGCUGUCCCUGAGUAGUCAACAAACCAACCAACAGAGCCAGUGCCCAGUGAGUCAGAGUCUCCUGGUGGCCUGGGGGCAGGUCGGAAUUUCCCAGGUGGUGUCCAGGUGUGGCCAGGGUCAGAAGCUGGUCCAGCACUUUACGUCCAGCCCCUCCCCGCCACCUGGAGCUUCAUUAAGAGUCACUUUGACAUAUCGUCCACGCCAGCAACCUGAAACCCGUGCCUAUUUUGCUUACCUGCUCAUCAUUUACAGAGGAGAGACCUUGGCACCUAGGCUCCAGGGAAACUCCACAUUCACCUGUAACAGGGAAGGAGGGAGUUCCCGAGAAGCGUCACUGCCCCGUAGGUGAAUGGAGGAAGCUGCUUCUGGCUUUCUGUGGUGUUGAUGCUUCUCUAGGACACUGCUUCAUAACUGAACAGAAUGGAGCCAGGUAGGCCAGGCUGGAUGGGAGAAGCACCUCAGAGUGUGUAGCCAGAGGAUCCCGAGAUGUAACUGGAACUUCCCCCCCUCAGGCAGUUAAGAGCUUUCUGAUGCCUUCUAAAAAUUAGGCAGAUGAAGUCUAAGGCAGGCAGGGCAUUCCCUCCAGAGCCAGAUGUAUGGAGGAGGAAUCCUCUCCUUCUACUUUUUAUCCAUGUGAACUUCAGGGGCUCUUAUCAUCCUGGCAGGAGCCUCUUGUCAGGAAUGGAGUCAGUCUCAGGAAGUUGACUUCCUCCUGCUCCCUGGCCAGAGGCCC